rnacentral:rRNA from 1 species
CCUACGGGAGGCAGCAGUGGGGAAUUUUGGACAAUGGGCGCAAGCCUGAUCCAGCCAUGCCGCGUGCGGGAAGAAGGCCUUCGGGUUGUAAACCGCUUUUGUCAGGGAAGAAAUCUUCUGGGCUAAUACCUCGGGAGGAUGACGGUACCUGAAGAAUAAGCACCGGCUAACUACGUGCCAGCAGCCGCGGUAAU